rnacentral:rRNA from 1 species
UACGGAGGGCGCAAGCGUUGUUCGGAGUUACUGGGCGUAAAGGGUGUGUAGGCGGUUCUUUUAAGUUUGGUGUGAAAUCUCCCGCUCAACCGGGAGGGUGCGCCGAAUACUGAGGGACUAGAGUGUGGGAGAGGAAAGUGGAAUUCCUGGUGUAGCGGUGAAAUGCGUAGAUAUCAGGAGGAACACCGGUGGUGUAGACGGCUUUCUGGACCAUAACUGACGCUGAGACACGAAAGCGUGGGUAGCAAACAGG